AUUGAACGCUGGCGGCAGGCCUAACACAUGCAAGUCGAGCGCGAAAGUUCUUCGGAAUGAGUAAAGCGGCGGACGGGUGAGUAAUACAUGGGAAUCUGCCUGGUAGUGGGGGACAACGUUUCGAAAGGAACGCUAAUACCGCAUACGCCCUACGGGGGAAAGGGGGGGAGUCUUCGGACCUCUCGCUAUUAGAUGAGCCC
rnacentral:rRNA from 1 species